UNGGGAACUUGGUCACAUAUACAGCAGC
rnacentral:piRNA from 1 species